rnacentral:tRNA from 1 species
GGGGAUUUAGCUCAGUGGCAUAAGCACCUGCCUUGCAAGCAGGCAGUCAUCAGUUCGAUCCCUGGUACCCA